rnacentral:rRNA from 1 species
UUCGCAAUGCCCGAAAGGGUGACGAAGCGACGCCGCGUGUGGGAAGAAGGCCUUCGGGUUGUAAACCACUGUCGGGAGUUAAGAAAUGUAAGGGUGUUAAUAGCGCCUUUACUUGACAAAGGCUCCGGAGGAAGCCACGGCUAACUCUGUGCCAGCAGCCGCGGUAAUACAGAGGCGGCAAGCGUUGUUCGGAAUUAUUGGGCGUAAAGAGCACGUAGGCGGCUUUGCAAGUCAGUUGUGAAAGCCUUCCGCUUAACGGAAGAACAGCAGCUGAUACUACAGAGCUUGAGUACGGGAGGGGAGAGUGGAACUUCUGGUGGAGCGGUGAAAUGCGUAGAUAUCAGAAGGAACGCCGGCGGCGAAAGCGAUUCUCUGGUCCGAAACUGACGCUGAGUGUGCGAAAGCUAGGGGAUCAAACGGGAUUAGAUACCCCGGUAGUCCCAGCCGUAAACGAUGGGCACUAAGUAGAGGGGUUUU